UACGGAGGGUGCAAGCGUUAUCCGGAUUCACUGGGUUUAAAGGGUGCGCAGGUGGGUUUGCAAGUUCGAUGUGAAAGCCCCGGGCUUAACCCGGGAAUGGCAUUGGAUACUGCAGAUCUGGAGGAUCGGAGGGGGGACUGGAAUUCUUGGUGUAGCAGUGAAAUGCGUAGAUAUCAAGAGGAACACCAGUGGCGAAGGCGAGUCCCUGGACGAUACCUGACACUGAGGCACGAAAGCUAGGGGAGCAAACAGG
rnacentral:rRNA from 1 species